rnacentral:misc_RNA from 1 species
AAAAAAAAGUUGAGUAUUCACAGCUUAAGUUUUCUUUCAAUUGCUAUAAAAAAAAACAAUGGUCUUUCUAUUACUUAUAAUUACUGCUACAAAUUCAACAAAAUGACACUAAAAAUGUAUUGAAUUUCAUAUCAAAGCCUUCUCUAUUUACAUAUUCCCAACAAAAUGGCAUCUUUUCUCUAUGCCAUAUAGGCCGCUCUCUUAGCCAUCAAUCUUCUACUUCUAGUCGACUGCUCUAGAACCGAACUUUCUCUUUUUUUAGUGCUCCCUUCCCACUCAACAGGUAAUAAUUUAAAGAACGACAUUAUUGUCUUCUUCUUCUAGUCGACUGCUCUACCAAUCACACAUUGCCUUACACUUGGCAUCGGGGGUUAUCGUCUUCUGCUUCUAGUCGACUGCUCUAUAAAAAUAAUAAUUGAAAAUUGGCGUUUUCCGACUAAGUAAUUACCAUCUUGUUACUCCAUUACGUUCUUCAGGUACCCAAUUUCUUCUGCUUCUUCUCAAAUACCUACUGAAUAUUGAAGUGCUUGAAGAUACACUUCGACUCCUGAAUACAGCAGAUCCAGAACCAGAACCGGAUGAUUCUGAACUACUGGAAUGUAUGGAUAGAGAUCGAUGUUGAGAAGAUGGUGUUAAUCGCCGGAAAAAUGAUGUGAAGUUGUUGAAAAUUCGGCUUAUUCCGUUGCCAUUUCGACCUGUGUUGCUUCUUCUUGAUCUCCAAGCUAUUCUUCUAGGUACCCCAUUGUUAAAUCCACCGUCCAUUUCUGUAUACACUACUGGAAGCUCUCUCUCAGCUCCUCUUCUUCCACCGGAAAAUCUUCCUACGGCGAACCCACCUCCCGGAAGUCUCCAUAUUGUCAAUCCCAUUGCCUCGUCUUCGUUUCUGGGUCUAGAAAUGUUGUCGGAGUUUGUAGUUUCAGUUGAUUCCGUUGGUAAUUCGUGUCGGCAAACGGGGCACGAAUUUCGAAGAGAUAGCCAUGGGAGGAUACAAUCGGAAUGGUAGAUGUGUUUACAGGGCAUUUCUCGAGCUUCAGAUCCUAAAUCGAAAGCUUCUUUACAAACAGCGCAAUGGGUCUCGGAAUUUACGUGAUUUGAAGCUAUUUGAAUAAUCGGCAUCGACUCAAUCGCUGAUU